UACUCAUAAUCAUGAUGGUGAUGGUGGUGGUGGUGGUGAUGUAAAAGAGAAAUAGCAUGCAUGAUCAAAAUCAUCAUCAUCAUCAUCAUCAUCA
rnacentral:miRNA from 1 species